CACACACACUGUUCUACUUCACGUGCCUAGCUGACACCUGACUUCCCCAGGGAGAGAGGGAAGGCCAAGAUUCAAUCACAUUCCGUCCCCUUGCCUGACACGGGUAGUGGGAGACGAGCCUUACUGUGAACUGUGAGAGGCGGUAGCCAGGAGACAGUCAGACUUUCAUCACGUCUGGAGGGCCACACAAAAGCCGUUCAUCCCACUCAGGAACAUAUGGCCUGCACUCACCUCCACAGGCGGGGAGAAUGGCCUCACCCUGCCUGCCUGGCUGCCGGGGCGCUGUGAGG